GAUGAACGCUGGCGGCGUGCCUAACACAUGCAAGUCGAGCGAAGCAUUUUAAAGGAAGUUUUCGGAUGGAAUUUGAAAUGACUGAGCGGCGGACGGGUGAGUAACGCGUGGGUAACCUGCCUCAUACAGGGGGAUAACAGUUAGAAAUGACUGCUAAUACCGCAUAAGCACACAGUACCGCAUGGUACGGUGUGAAAAACUCCGGUGGUAUGAGAUGGACCCGCGUCUGAUUAGCUGGUUGGUGGGGUAACGGCCCACCAAGGCGACGAUCAGUAGCCGGCCUGAGAGGGUGAACGGCCACAUUGGGACUGAGACACGGCCCAG
rnacentral:rRNA from 1 species